GGAGAGGUGGCUGAGAGGCCGAAAGCGGCAGAUUGCUAAUCUGUUAGGCGGGUCAAACCGCCUCGAGGGUUCGAAUCCCUCCCUCUCCG
rnacentral:tRNA from 1 species